GUGAAGCUCUCUCUUCGCUCAUCUGCGAAGGUCGAUUCUUCGCUCCUGUGAAUCUCCAACUUCGGUCGCUCUCUGUACAAGUGACCGACCAUGAAAUCUCCCACUUCGCUCGCUCUCUGUACAAGUGACCCACCGCGAAGCUGAUCUCCCUACCGUUAAGCUCAACCCCAAUCUUCGGCAUACACUUAUCCCCAACUUAGAUCUGCUGGAGGUUAGGGUUUUCUCCCUCACAUUUGUUUUGAAUUUAUCUUGAAUUUGAUUUUAGGGUUUUCAUUAGUCAAAUGUUGAUUAAAUCCAAGUUAGGUUAA